rnacentral:piRNA from 1 species
AAAGAACUGAGCACAAGCGGCUCG